ACGCUUGAAGUCAGUCGCGUUAGCCGGAAAUCAGCCUUGCUUUUGCUGGGUGUAUUUUCUGGUUGACGGGCCAGCAUCAGUUUUGACCGGUGGAAAAAGUCUAGAGGAAUGUGGCAUCUUCGGAUGUGUUAUAGCCUCUGGUCGUAUACAUCGAUUGGGACUGAGGAACUCAGCACUUGUGCUUAGGAUGCUGGCAUAAUGGCUUUAAUCGACCCGUCUUGAAACACGGACCAAGGAGUC
rnacentral:rRNA from 1 species